UUUUGUUUUUUUUUUUAAGCUAGAGUGUUUGUUUCUCACCCUCAGCACUGUUGACAAUUUGGGCCAGAUGAUUGUUAUGGGGGCUGUUCUGUGCAUUGUAGGAUGUUUAGCAGCAUCCCUAAGUUCUACCCACAAGAUACCAUUAGCACCUCAACACAGGUUUUUGUGUGUGUGUGUUUCUUUAUUGUUUUUUUAAUCAGAGAGGGAGAGAGAGAGAGAAACAUCAAGAAUCAUUGAUCUGCUGCCUCCUGCAUGCCCCCACUGGGGAUCGAGCCUGCAACCUGGGCAUGUGCCCUAGACCGGAAUCGAACCUGGGACCUUUCAGUCCGCAGGCCGAUGCUCUAUCCACUGAGCCAAACUGGCUAGGGCUCAACCCAAGUUUGACAAGGAAAAAUAUCUCCAGGUAAUUGCCAAUGUCCCCUAGUUGAGAACCACUGUUCUAGGAGCUCAAAAUCUAAGUAAGAGAUGACACAAGAAUUCAGCCUUUCCCUUUUUUAGCACUGAAAGUACUGCAUCUCAGAAAAUUACUCAGUCCCAGGUUGGUCACCACAGAUAGCAUGAGACAGAAUGCACCAAGGGUCAAAAUGUGAGUUCAGCUUGGGCUAGAGUGGUGAGGGAAGGUUUUUAGAAAUGGGCAGGGAGUGGGGGAUAGCAGCUGAGUUGUCUUAAAGGUACUGGAGGGGAGGGGGUAUUUGUAAGUAAAAGCAGGGUGUGUCAGUGUCACAUGAAGAAACCAGCUGGUCUACUUGGAGGGUUCUGAGUUCAUACAGCUGAAUGCCUACUCUGGGCUAAGCACUUGGGACACAGAAAGGUCAAGGAGACAGGUCUAUGGCCUGUGUGUGCACAUGAUAUAGACUCACAGGUGUCAAGGGUGACAUAUGAGCAGGGUGCUGUGGGAUUUCCAGGUAGAAGGAAUCACUUAUGCUAUGAGUGCAAAAAUCCCUAAAGGGACAGGCAUGCAAGCAGAGAAAACACCAAAAAAACAAAACAAUUGGUAGACUUGGGUAAAACAGUUACUUGUGACUCAAAAGUAGCAGGGGAAAUGUGUAGAGACAGAAUCAGGAGAGUUCUGGGGUUACCUGGAGAAGGAGCUGGGGCCUCGUGUGUGUCAUAUUAGCUCAUAGGUGAGAGUCCAUUCUGCUUUGCUUUUCACUAUUGACUCUCUAACCCAAAGAUGACCACACCCACCACAGUCAUUUCCUGAACUCUCCUUAAUUAGCACAAGGUUGGGCACAGGGCAGGUAUUUAAGAUAUACGAAUUGAGAGCUCUGAGCAUCAGGCUUAUGGAGAGAGAAAAUUCCCUUCCUUCUUCCUGCUAUCUAGCUCCAAAGUGCAAAUCCAUCCAUAGGAGGCAGCUGUAUGGCUGGGGAAAUCUCAGAAUGCCUGGGUGAAAAACAUCCUAAUUGUCUUCCAGGCCAAUCAGUCUCCAGCCAUCUAGAGAAGAUGGCCAGUUAGGGCCCUGCUCCACAAAGGUUAAGAAAGAAAUGCCAAGUCACCAACAGGCCACCUAAGUCGGGCCUGUUUUAGUGUUCCACUUGAGCAAAGGGGUUGAGAACCCUGUCCCCACAGCCCAGUGUCUGUGCCGGGGACCUAGGACAGGAUGCUGGCCCCAGCCCAUGGUGACACCCACCUUGCUGGGAGAUCCGCUUCACCAGCAGGUUGAGCUGCUCCACCACCAGCUGCUUCUUGCUCUCCAUCAGGUGGGAGAAACCGCGCUGCAGAGCAGAGGCCAUGGCUUGGGAGUCCUGGCUUAGGCUCUGCUUCAGCUGGGUUGUUGCAUUAUCUCCAACUAGGAACUGGAACUCGGGCACUUCUGCAGGAAGGCCAGGCCAGAGCCCAUAUCAGGAAUGGCAAGAUAGAACCCACAGAAGUGGGAAGUUGCAGGGGGCCUAUCCAUCCCAUCCCUAACCAAGAAGUCAGGCGGUGCUAAGCAAACUGCAGUGAAAACCGACUGCUCACCACCAGCCCACAGCAACCACACCUAAGCCUGGUCUCAUGGGAUUAUCCCAGUAGCUUCAAGAAUUCAUGAGGCUAACCAGCCUUUCAGUUCCUGUGACAUUCAACCUCUGUUCUUGGCCACUGUUCUAGCUCAGCCCUGGGUUGCCAAUGUAUUCUAGCCCCAAUAUGCUUGCUGUCAGCAUUUUGCUAAACCUUACUUGUCAGAAAGGUCACAAUUUCCUCAACUGGCCGGAAGCCACAUAAGCCCUGAAAGGAGGUGAGGGCAAUGGCCAUUUCUGGCUUAUGGUUGGAAUCAGGGUAGUGCUGUGGAGCCUGGAGGUGCAGCUUCUCUGCCAGUUCCUGUGGGAUGGCCAGGGGAAGAGGAGGAAGGUCAAGGCGCAGCCAUCACCUAGCAGGUUACCAGUCCCACCCAGGCCUUGCUCCCUACCCUCCCAGGCCCCAGAAAGCAGUAGCUUCCUACUUCUAGCAACAAGCCCAGUCAAGGCAUAAUGCAGAAAUUCCAGGUUCAGCCAACCCAGGGCAGAGACAUGGGCCAAGUCUGGGGGCAGUCUUUAAGAGGCCUGGACUGGGAAUCAGGAAACCCAAACACCAAGCCACACUCUGACACAAGCUGUGUGACUUUGGGUAAAUCCCUCACUUCUCUGGGUCUUACUUUGCUCAUCUAGAAAUGAGGAGUUUGGAUAGGCAAAUGCUUAUGAUGUUAUUCAUGGGAUUGUUGCAGAAAGACUCCCGGGGGUGGAGCUGAGGCAACAGCUAGGGUGCCUGCCCUGCCCUAAAAGGUGAAUUCUCUAAAAGAACCAAAUAGGAAAAUGUCAGAUAUGAAUAGUCCUGGGCUGGGUAAAGUGAGAGAAACUCCCCUGGCACAGGCUGGUCAGCUGUUCACUUAGAUUUAGCUGCCAGCAUGUGUCACCAUCAUCUAGUCUUGCCGAGUUGUCAGGCCUCGAUUUAGCUUUGAGAGGAAGCCUAGCAUAGGUAGGGUAAAAGCAGCAGUAAAAGUUGUCAAAAGGGCCAGACUGGCGUGCUCAGUGGUUGAGCAUCGACAUAUGAACCAGGAGGUCAUGGUUCCAUUCCUGGUCAGGGCACAUGCCCAUAUUGCGAGCUCAAUUCCCAGUGUGGGGUGUACAGGAGGCAGCCGAUCAAUGAUUCUGUCUCAUUAUUAAUGUUUCUAUCUCUCCCUCUCCCUUCUCUGAAAUCAAUAAAAUAUAUAUUUUUAAAAAAUUGUUAGAGGGCCUUAAAAGUAAGCUCUUCUCUACCUUGAUUGUACCCCAUUCUGAUCCUAUACCUUGUUAGGGUGUGCCUGGAUGGAGAGGGCUGUUUCAACCGAGAGCACUUUGAAGAGGAAGGGCAGCUUGCCAUUAAAGGUGUCCUUGACCUUUGAGCCUAAGCAGUCCUGGUUCUCAGCGAUCCACUGGCCUAAGGUCCUCUGAGAGAUUCGACUGUCAAGAAUCUUGGCAUCUCCCCGGGGGUGGGUCCCCAUCCACAGCUGGAAAAACAGGAAAUUUGGGAGAAAAGAGAGAAAAACAUACACCACCAGUUUGCCUGCCCCAAUGCCAGAGUUACCCUGUGUUCCCCAUAGGGCAGUUAAAUCCCAAGACAGGCCUCCCAGCACUGGGUAUAAAUCCUCAUGCAAUCACGGACCUAAAAUGAGGCAGCAGACCCCAGAAUACCAGGAGCAGAAGACCCAGGCUCUAGUCCAGGUUCUGCCUCUAACCAGCUGUGGAGGCUUAGACUAGUUAUUUCCUGUCUCUGGGUCUCAGUUUUCUCAUCUGUCCAGCAAGGAGAAUAACACCUACACUGUCAAGGUCACUAGAAAUCUCUCAAGCUCAAAUAGCUCCAGGAGGUGUUAGCAUUCAUUUAUGCCAGUCUCAGAUUUAGAGGCUAAAGCCUCCCUAUGCUUUUGGCUUUUUCUCUACUAAAUGGGCAGAAAUAUAAUUUAAACCUAUAAUUUUAGGUUUAAAAAUGUAAAAGCUAGUGCCCUGGCCAGGUAGCUCAGUUAGUUAGAGCAUCAUCCCAAUUCUCCAAGGUUGUGGGUUUGAUCCCCAGUCAAGGCACAUACAAGAAGUAACCAAUGCCUGGCCGGCAUGGCUCAUUGAGCGUCGACCUAUGAACCAGGAGUUCACAGUUCCAUUCCCAGGUGGCAUAUCCCCAGGAUGCGGGCUCCAUCCCUAGUAUGGGGUAUACAGUAGGCAGCUGAUGAGCCAUUCUCUCUCAUUAUUGAUGUCUCUGUCUCUCUCCCUCUCCUUUCCUCUCUGAAAUUAAAACUAAAAAUAAAAUACACAAAUAAAAAAUAGAAGCAACCAAUUAAUUCAUAAACAAGUGGAACAAAUCAAUAUCUCUCUAAUCAAUAAAUACUUUUGUUAAUCCUCACCCGAGGAUAUUUUCCCCCAUUCAUUUUUUAGAGAGAGUGGAAGGGAGGGAGAGAGGAAGGGAGACAGACAGACAUCAGUGUGAGAAACACAUGGAUUGGUUGCCUCCUGCAAGCAGAGGAUUGAACCUGCAACCCAGGUACCCACCCUUGACAGGAACUAGAACCCACGACCUUUCUACCCUUCAGUGCCGGCGGGGAUCAAGACUAACCACUUAGAAACACUGGCCAGGGCAGUAAGUAAUUU